rnacentral:rRNA from 1 species
GACGAACGCUGGCGGCGUGCUUAACACAUGCAAGUCGAACGGAAAGGCCCUGCUUUUGUGGGGUGCUCGAGUGGCGAACGGGUGAGUAACACGUGAGUAACCUGCCCUUGACUUUGGGAUAACUUCAGGAAACUGGGGCUAAUACCGGAUAGGAGCUCCUGCUGCAUGGUGGGGGUUGGAAAGUUUCGGCGGUUGGGGAUGGACUCGCGGCUUAUCAGCUUGUUGGUGGGGUAGUGGCUUACCAAGGCGUUGACGGGUAGCCGGCCUGAGAGGGUGACCGGCCACCUUGGGACUGAGAUACGGCCCAGACUCCUACGGGAGGCAGCAGUGGGGAAUAUUGCACAAUGGGCGGAAGCCUGAUGCAGCAACGCCGCGUGCGGGAUGACGGCCUUCGGGUUGUAAACCGCUUUCGCCUGUGACGAAGCGUGAGUGACGGUAAUGGGUAAAGAAGCACCGGCUAACUACGUG